rnacentral:tRNA from 1 species
AAGAGUGUAAUUUAACGGUAAAAUAAGAAGCUUCAAACUUCGAAUUCUUGGUUCAAAUCUGAGUACUCUUG